UACAGAGGUGGCAAGCGUUGUUCGGAAUUACUGGGCGUAAAGGGCGCGUAGGCGCCUUCUAAGUCGGACGUGAAAUCCCCAGGCUUAACUUGGGAACUGCGUCUGAUACUGGAAGGCUUGAGUGCGGGAGAGGGAUGUAGAAUUCCAGGUGUAGCGGUGAAAUGCGUAGAUAUCUGGAGGAACACCGGUGGCGAAGGCGGCAUCCUGGACCAUACUGACGCUGAG
rnacentral:rRNA from 1 species